UUUUCUAUAGGUGUGCUUGGCAUAGAGGCUGCGGUGGAGCAGGUGGAGCAGGUGGAGCAGGUGGAGCAGGUGGAGCAGGGCCAAUCAGAAGCCAUCCUCUACAAUAAAGCCUGACUCUACUCAUCAUUCUGUGCCAGACCGUGAAGGAUCUACAGUCAGUCUUUGCACCGUUCACUCCAGCCUCCAAACUGUGUAAACUGGUAACUGUUGUCUUUGCUUCCUCCUAGUCUGGAUCCCGGCCGUUCGUGUCCACCUGCUCCCGCUGUUCUUGGAUCAAAGAACCCUGGCUGCAACAACUCACCUGGUCAGUCUCCCCCGUUUCCUGGACGCCGCAGCCUCCAGAACAGCUGCAUGCCACCCAGAGCUUCCCAGCGUCCAACUCCCCCUCAUCUAGGUCUACACCUGGUCCCCUUUCAGUCCAUUCACGCUGAACCUCAGCACGAGCAUUCCAGACUAGUGAGUGGAUUCUGGUUUCAUGUAGAUCGUUUUUUCUAGAGCUCGUGUAAGUGUUGUUACUUCUCUAGUGAAUUCCAAUUCCUCUGUAGAUUUACUUUUGAACUCCUGUAUGAUUAUUAGUAAGCCCUGUGUGUUAUUGGUCCGUGUAUUUAUCUGGCAAUUGGAUUUUCCGUUCUGAAACGGGUAUUGAAAAACAAAAAAACGGGGUUAUUUGAUUUUCGUUAUAAAAUACAAAAAUUAAAAUUGAAAUACAAGGCGUUUUUCCUUUUCAUGAUCAAAAAGGGAUAUACAUUUUUAAAAUGCGUUGAUCUUCAUUUUAUAUUUGGAAUAACAAAAAAAGUAAAAUCGGUAAGAGACAGAAACGAAAAAAGGUCCGUUUUUUCAUUUUCUGAGACCGGAAGUGGUCAUCAGCAAGUGUGGAGCCAAACAGAGGACGGUGCAUAGACUGGAUAUAAUUUUUUUCCAUUAGUUUUCAUGGUCAAAAUGAGAGAUCAGGUGGCCGAUCUUAAAAUAAAUCAAUAUUGAAUUUUUUAUAGAGCGUUAAAGUUUUACGAAGCCAGGGGGCGGGACUACUUGAUUGACAGUCUGGUCUGGAAUGAUUGACAGGUCCUAUGGAGGAGGCAGCAGAGACUGCUCUCCUCGUUUGGAUUAAUUCUGAUAUAAUAACUGUUGGUUUAUUUAUCGGUGGAGCAGCAGAACAUUUUCCACAGACAGUUUUCCUGCCCGUUGGCUUGUUUUAACCAGUUUUCUACCUUCGGCUGAUUCUACCAGCAGACACUGAAAGGACUCUGAUAGUUCGGUGUCUCAUGUUCACUGUGAGGAUCUUCUGAGUGAAGCCAGCAGAAGGAAAACCUCAUCUGGUUGUGAAGAAGGAGACUGAAUGGACGACAUCCUCAAGUGAAAGUAGCAGUUCCUCCUGAAGGUCAGAGAUUGCAGCAUCUGAGGGCCUCUUCAAAAGAAGACGUAGUUGAUGAAGACGUUCUGGAGCAGGACCAGAAAGACCACGACCAAGCAGCCUUGAGAUCUUAGGCAGCGUCUCCCUCAGGUCCCUCUCUAUCUCCCCACAUAUCCACCAACCACUGGAACACAUCUCCAAAGUUCUGCUGGACCAGCUCAGCUUCCCCUCAGAAGAAGUGCUGCCACCUGCCAGAUGAAGGAGCCUUUUGAGAGGCAGCUGGCAUCGUGAUUGGACUGUACUUUGGUCUGUUCCAAUCCAGCUUCAGCUCCAGAGACGGCAGGCGGGACGAGUCAAUGGAGGCCGGGUGGAUGAAGACAUGCAGCUGAGUACAAUCCAGAAAACAACAGAGGAGGAGUGCAGCAGCCCAGAGCCAGAACAACCAGAGUAGCAUGACCAAAGAACUACAGACUCUUCACAACCUGCUCAAACUCUUGGUACAGGACCUCACCACACGGGUCAAGAAGGUUUCUGUCUCAUUUCUACUCUGAAGCUCACCUUCUCCUGCUCAAACUGCUGACAAAUGUUUCUGCUGCUCUAAAGUCUGGUCUCCAGAACUUCCUAAAAACUCUCAAAGUCUCUUCUGCUGCAGGUUGCUUUGUAGAACUGUUCCAGAAAACCUCAC
ensembl:lncRNA